rnacentral:rRNA from 1 species
UACGUAGGGGGCUAGCGUUGUCCGGAUUUAUUGGGCGUAAAGAGCGUGUAGGCGGCCAGGUAGGUCUGGUGUGAAAACUCGAGGCUUAACCUCGAGAUGUCAUCGGAAACCAUCUGGCUAGAGUCCGGAAGAGGAGAGUGGAAUUCCUGGUGUAGCGGUGAAAUGCGCAGAUAUCAGGAAGAACACCAAUGCGAAAGCAGCUCUCUGGGACGGUACUGACGCUGAGACGCGAAAGCGUGGGGAGCGAACAGG